rnacentral:rRNA from 1 species
AGGUGGCGAGUGGCGUACCGGUGUAUAAUAUCUUAAAAACUUUUUCUUAUAGGGGUGAAUAUCCCGGCGAAAGCCGUAUUAAUUCCCGCAUAUGAUCUACGGAUAAAAGCGGGGGAUCUUCUGCCCUCUCGUUAUAGGGGCGGCCCGAUGGCGGAUUAGCUAGUUGGUGAGUUAAAGGCUCACCAAGGCGACGAUCCGUAGCUGGUCUGAGAGGACGACCAGCCACACUGGGACUGAGACACGGCCCAGACUCCUACGGGAGGCAGCAGUGGGGAAUUUUGGACAAUGGGCGAAAGCCUGAUCCAGCAAUGCCGCGUGUGUGAAGAAGGCCUUCGGGUUGUAAAGCACUUUUGUCCGGAAAGAAAUCCCUGGUCCUAAUAUGGCCGGGGGAUGACGGUACCGGAAGAAUAAGCACCGGCUAACUACGUGCCAGCAGCCGCGGUAAUACGUAGGGUGCAAGCGUUAAUCGGAAUUACUGGGCGUAAAGCGUGCGCAGGCGGUGAUGUAAGACCGAUGUGAAAUCCCCGGGCUCAACCUGGGAACUGCAUUGGUGACUGCAUCGCUUGAGUAUGGCAGAGGGGGGUAGAAUUCCACGUGUAGCAGUGAAAUGCGUAGAGAUGUGGAGGAAUACCGAUGGCGAAGGCAGCCCCCUGGGUCAAUACUGACGCUCAUGCACGAAAGCGUGGGGAGCAAACAGG